rnacentral:rRNA from 1 species
GACGAACGCUGGCGGCGUGCUUAACACAUGCAAGUCGAACGGGAUAAUUUGAGAUCUUGCUCUUAGAGAAUCUAGUGGCAAACGGGUGAUUCACACGUACACAACCUGCCGACAGGAUUGGGACAACAUUCCGAAAGGAAUGCUCAUACCGAAUGAAGCGGAGGAGGGGCAUCUCUCCUCCGUGAAACAUUGCCUCUGUAUAUGCUCUCUCCUUUCGAUGGUUCUGCGUCUGAUUAGGUAGUUGGUGAGGUAACGGCUCACCAAGGCGACGAUCAGUAGCAGGUGUGAGAGGAUGAAGAGCAGCAAUGGGACGGAGACAAGGCGGAGAAUACUACGGGAGGCAGCAGUGGGGAAUCUUCCGCAAUUGGGGCAAGCCUGAAGGAGGAACGCCGCGUGAGUGAAGAAGGUCGUCGGAUCGGAAAGCUAUGUUGACGGGGAAGGAAGUGCGAAGGGUGAAUAAGGCUGGGGAAUGACGGUACCUGAAGAAGAAGCAACGGCUAACUACGUG